rnacentral:tRNA from 1 species
UGCAUCGGGAUAUAUGUUCAGGAAGUGCGGUAUAUCAUCUGCCAUGAAGCUCAUAACCUGAAGGUCGCAGGUUCAAAUCCUGCCCCCGCAACCA